AGGGGUGUAGCUCAGUGGUAGAGCACUUGCCUAGCAUGCACAAGGUUCUGGGUUUAAUCCCCAGCACCACAC
rnacentral:tRNA from 1 species